rnacentral:rRNA from 2 species
CCGUUCCCAUACCGAACACGGAAGUUAAGCUCUUCAGCGCCGAUGGUAGUCGGGGGUUUCCCCCUGUGAGAGUAGGACGCCGCCAAGC